rnacentral:other from 1 species
CUUCGAGAGCAAGAUUCACUAAAAAAAGGAUUGAAAC